UGAGGAGGUGUCUAUUGACUAGUGCUGCUACAUAGUACAAUUAUUUAGGCUUCACUUGGAGGAAAUGUUUCACUUACAGGCUCUGACUAUUCUGCAGGUGAUGUGAAAAGGAUCAAGGACAAGAGUAAAGGAAAGGUUCGGAAAGAGAAAGUUUGGAUUGAAGUUCAGAAAUCUCAGGACCACAAACGCAGAACGACACCGGAAACAGAAAAAGACAUUAAACAAAGAUCUAACUCAGUCUCCCCUGUGGAGAAAGCAAAGGAGACCCAGCAGAAAGAGAAGAAGCAGAGCAUCAAUCCAGCUGUGGCGGCCCUGCAGCUGUUCACUCUCUUCUGCUGUGGAGGGAAAGUCAAGCUGAAGAAAACUCGUCCCUCUCAGCACAGACAGAGUAAAAAGGACCAGGACGAAGAUAAUGCAUCUGAUACUGGCUCAGACUGGUCUGGAGGAGAUGUUACAACCAAAAAGGUCAAGGACAAGAGUAAUGGAAAGGUAGGGAGGGAGAAAGACUGGACUGAAGUCCAGCUAUUGAAAUCAUCUCAAGACCACGAACCCAGAAGUACAACACCAGAAACAGACAAGGGAACUAAUUUGGGACAAAGACUGAACUCUGUGAGACAAGCAAACAUGCUGUAUCAUAUUUUAUUGUGAGCAAAAGAUCUUUCCCAUAAUGUUUUAUCAUUGGGUAUUGCAAUUGUCUU